rnacentral:rRNA from 1 species
AGUUCGGUCGCCAGCUCCAGAUUGAACGCUGGCGGGAUGCUUUACACAUGCAGUCGAACGGCAGCACGGACUUCGGUCUGGUGGCGGGUAGCGAACGGGUGAGUAAUGUAUCAGGAACGUGCCUAGUAGCGGGGAUAACUACGCAAAAGCGUAGCUGUAUACCUUCGAGAAAGCGGGGGACGCCCGGGCCUCGCACUAUUAAAACGGCAAAUAUCGGAUAGCUAGUUGGUGGGGGUAACGGCUCCGCAAGAGCGACGAUCCGUAGCUGGUUUAAAGAGGACGACCAAACACACUGGACUGGAACGGCCGGGCUACGGGCAACAGUGGGAAUUUUGGACAAUGGAAACUAGUCAGCCAUCCCGCGUGCGAUGGGGGCCUUCCGGGUUGUAAACACUUUUGGCGGGAAAGAAACGGCACAGGAUAAUACCCCGUGCAACUGACAGCCUGAAUAACAAGCCCUUCACGGUAUGGCAUGACGCAGGUGUGCAUGGUGCAAGCGAUUAAUCGGAAUUACUGGAGCGUAAAGCGUGCGCAGGCGGUUCGGAAGAAGAUGUUGAAAUCCCAGAGCUUAACUUUGGAACUGCAUUUUUAACUACCGAGCUGGGGGUGUGUCAGAGGAGGUGGAAUUCCGCGAUGUAGCAGUGAAAUGCGUAGAUAUGCGGAGAACUUGCAAAUGGCGAAAGACAGCCCCUCUGGACAACACUGACGCUCAUGCACAGCAGCGUGGGAGCAAACAGGAUUAAGUACACCUGGUAGUCACGCCUAAACGAUGUCAACUAGCUGUUGGGGCCUUCGGGCCUUGGUGGCUCAUGCUGCGUGAGAUUGACCACUGCCUAGAGGACUGGUCAUAAGAUUAAACUCAAAGGAAUUAAUGGGACCGCACAAGCGGUGUGAUGUGGAUUAAUUCGAUGCAACGCGAAAAACCUUACCUACCCUUGACAUGUCUGGAAUCCCGAAGAGAUUUAAAAGAGUCUGCUCUCAAAGAGAACCGGAACACAGGUGCUGCAUGGCUGUCGUCAAACUCGUGUCGUGAGAUGUUGGGUUAGAGUCCACCCAACGAGCGCAACCCUUGUCGGUAGUUGCUACGAAAAGGGGCGCUCUAAUGAGACUGCCGGUGAUAAAACCGGAGGAAGGUGAGGAUGACGUCGGUCCUCAUGGCCCAUAUGGGUAGGGCUUUACCACGUCAUACAAUGGUCGGGACAGAGGGUCGCCAACGCGAGGAGCCAAUCAGAAACCCGAUCGUAGUCCGGAUCGCAGUCUGCAACUCGACUGCGUGAAGUGGAAAUCGCUGGUAAUCGCGGAUCAGCAUGUCGCGGUGAAUACGUUCCGGGUCUUGUACACACCGCCCGUCACACCAUGGGAGUGGGUUUUACCAAGUAGUUAGCCUAACCAUGGAGGCGAUUACCGGUAGGAUUCAUGGCCGGGGUGAAGUCGUAACAAAAUCAACU